ensembl:lncRNA TEKT4P2 tektin 4 pseudogene 2
GCCCACUUCGCCAUUUUCCUCCGGAAGUGCGGAUCCCAGCGGCGGUCGUGUAGCUGAGCAGGCCUGGGGCUUGGUUCUAUGUCCCUGUAGCUAUGUUUCCAGUGUCCUCUGGGUGUUUCCAAGAGCAACAAGAAACGAAUAAAUCUCUGUCCGCGAUCCAGCCCGGUCCACCACAGCCUUCAGCAGCGACACUCGUAGCCUCCCACCUCUCAGACCGACCCCGCAGCGCCUCCACCCCAGAGACCCGGACCAAGUUCACACAGGACAAUCUGUGCCACGCCCAGCGCGAGCGCCUGGACUCGGCCAACCUGUGGGUGCUGGUGGACUGCAUCCUUCGCGACACCUCCGAGGACCUGGGACUCCAGUGUGACGCCGUGAACCUGGCCUUCGGGCGCCGCUGUGAGGAACUGGAGGACGCGCGGCACAAGCUGCAGCACCACCUGCACAAGAUGCUGCGGGAAAUCACAGAUCAGGAACACAACGUGGUGGCACUGAAGGAGGCCAUCAAGGACAAGGAGGAACCUCUGCACAUAGCCCAGACCCGGCUGUAGUUGCUCUCACACCGGCCCAACAUGCAGCUGUGCCGCGAUGCAGCCCAGUUCAGCCCCAGCUCACACCCCCCAACACCCCCAAGCUGGUGAGUGAGGUGGAGGAGCUGUACAAGUCCAUCACAGCGCUGCGGGAGAAGCUUCUACAAGCGGAGCAGUCCCUGCGCAACCUCAAGGACAUCCACAUGAGCCUGGAGAAGGACGUCACUGCCAUGACCAACAGUCUCUUCAUCGACCGCCAGAAGUGCAUGGCCCAUCGUACUUGCUACCCCACCAUUCUGCAGCUGGCUGGCUACCAGUGAGCAGCGGCACGGUGCUUCCCCCCAAUCCCCCAAAUAAACAGUGCGUUAGCUUUCUGCA